rnacentral:snRNA from 1 species
GCUCCUGCUGCUGCUGGU